rnacentral:piRNA from 1 species
UAUAAUUUGAGUGGUGGCAGCGAAUUCA